GAUGAACGCUGGCGGCGUGCCUAAUACAUGCAAGUCGAGCGAACAGAUAAGGAGCUUGCUCCUUUGACGUUAGCGGCGGACGGGUGAGUAACACGUGGGUAACCUACCUAUAAGACUGGGAUAACUUCGGGAAACCGGAGCUAAUACCGGAUAACAUUUGGAACCGCAUGGUUCUAAAGUGAAAGAUGGUUUUGCUAUCACUUAUAGAUGGACCCGCGCCGUAUUAGCUAGUUUGUAAGGUAACGGCUUACCAAGGCAACGAUACGUAGCCGACCUGAGAGGGUGAUCGGCCACACUGGAACUGAGACACGGUCCAGACUCCUACGGGAGGCAGCAGUAGGGAAUCUUCCGCAAUGGGCGAAAGCCUGACGGAGCAACGCCGCGUGAGUGAUGAAGGGUUUCGGCUCGUAAAACUCUGUUAUUAGGGAAGAACAAACGUGUAAGUAACUGUGCACGUCUUGACGGUACCUAAUCAGAAAGCCACGGCUAACUACGU
rnacentral:rRNA from 1 species